GUUGAGGCCAGUUAGGAUCCGCAUGGGAUAAAGAAGUUUUGUCGUCUCGUAAUUAUAGAUAUAAUACAUAAAAUUCUACGAAUCGACGAAGUUGGAAACACAAAGCACAGUGAAGGUCAUGUGUUAUGUUUUGCUGUUUUUCUUAUGUAGCCGAGAUUAUGAGUGCAGUUGUUCGUGCCGCCAUAGAUGAAUCGAUCUUUGUUUCGAUAAAAUAAAGAAAGAAUUGUGAAGUAGAUUUGUUGUUAAUGUUUUUCGGUUAAUUUAAAUUUGUUUGCAUUUUAUGAUGUUAAACAAUUUUAGGAAUAUGUCUGUAUGAAUAAUUUGGGUGCAAAACAGUCAUACAAUCAAUAUUUGUUCGUAUAGAAUUUAUUUUUCUUUUUUUCUACAAUCAAAUAUAC